GAGCUUACUUAACAGCACAUUUAGUAAAAUUGGAAUGAAACAGAAAUUAGCAUGGCCCCUGCUCAGAGAUGACAUGCAAAUUUGUAAAGUGUCCCAUAUUUAU